AUGCCAAGCAGGGGAGGCAGAGAGAGCAGCGUUAACACCACAUGACAGAUCACCAAGUAAGACUGACCUGAUCUCUGGGCCAUCAGCUGAAGAUAAAGCAAGAAUUUCUGAGGACAUGGAUGGUUUACCAGACCAUAGUGUGGAUGAGGGAAGGAUCAGCCUCAUACUUGGCUUCAAGGAGACAAUGGAAAUCAACUAGGAUGAUAGGGCAUAAGGAUGAGUGGCGGACCACGGGCUCAGGAGCCACACACAUUGGAAGAAAAUCUGAGAGCCUCCAAGAGCUUGGGAUGACAAUCCACAAGCACAUCUGAUGGGGACACUACAGAGCAGCUGCUGAACAAGGUCAAAUGAGCCACCUGACACAUGUCUAUUGCAGGUGUUCAGGAAGAGGGACCAGUCUGCCUUCUGAUUGCAUGUUGCCAUAGCAACACUCUCCCUCCCUGGUUCUUGCUGGUCCCAGUUGGACUUGCUGUUUCUCCACAUGCACUAUGAUCCCACCUCAGGGCCUUUGCAUGGCCAACAUGACAAUUCAUUCCACUCAGACUCAUGUUCAGGAUCACGAGCUUGUUGGAUGAAGAG
rnacentral:lncRNA from 1 species